rnacentral:rRNA from 2 species
UAGGUCGACCCGCUGAACUUAAGCAUAUCAAUAAGCGGAGGAAAAGAAACCAACAGGGAUUCCCUUAGUAACGGCGAGCGAAGUGGGAAUCAGCCCAGGUCUGGAAUCUCCCGGUCGGCAUUAGUCGUGACCGGGCGAAUUGUGGUCUGGAGAGGCAGACUGUCCCGAUCCACCGCCUGCGAGCCCGAAGUUGACUUGGAACGGCACGCCAAAGAGGGUGAGAGCCCCGUAGGGCAUGGAAAUCGUUAGCGGCGGGACGAGGGUCUGUUCUCGUAGAGUCGGGUUGUUUGGGAAUGCAGCCCAAAGCGGGUGGUAGACUCCAUCCAAGGCUAAAUACGGGCACGAGACCGAUAGCUGACAAGUACC